CCUACGGGAGGCAGCAGUAGGGAAUAUUGCUCAAUGGGGGAAACCCUGAAGCAGCAACGCCGCGUGGAGGAUGAAGGUUUUCGGAUUGUAAACUCCUUUUGUUAGAGAAGAUAAUGACGGUAUCUAACGAAUAAGCACCGGCUAUCUCCGUUCCAGCAGCCGCGGGACUACGGAGGGUGCACGCGUUACUCGGAAUCACUGGGCGUAAGGAGCGCGUAGGCGGGUUAGCAAGUCAGAUGUGAAAUCCUAUGGCUUAACCAUAGAACUGCAUUUGAAACUGUUAUUCUAGAGUAUGGGGGAGGUAGGUGGAAUUCUUGGGGGAGGGGAAAAAGCCGUAGAGAACAAGAGGAAUACUCAUUGCGAAGGCGACCUGCGAGAACAUAACUGACGCUGAUGCGCGAAAGCGUGGGGAGCAAACAGGAUUAGAUACCCUGGUAGUC
rnacentral:rRNA from 1 species